UUUAACUGAAGAGUUUGAUCAUGGCUCAGAUUGAACGCUGGCGGCAGGCUUAACACAUGCAAGUCGAGCGGAGAGAGGUAGCUUGCUACUGAUCUUAGCGGCGGACGGGUGAGUAAUGCUUAGGAAUCUGCCUAUUAGUGGGGGACAACAUUUCGAAAGGAAUGCUAAUACCGCAUACGUCCUACGGGAGAAAGCAGGGGAUCUUCGGACCUUGCGCUAAUAGAUGAGCCUAAGUCGGAUUAGCUAGUUGGUGGGGUAAAGGCCUACCAAGGCGACGAUCUGUAGCGGGUCUGAGAGGAUGAUCCGCCACACUGGGACUGAGACACGGCCCAGACUCCUACGGGAGGCAGCAG
rnacentral:rRNA from 1 species